rfam:Trametes pubescens strain FBCC735 TRAPTBscaffold_816, whole genome shotgun sequence.
GGCGCUAUAGUGUAGCGGUUAUCACUUGGGAUUCUGAUCUCAGCGUUCCCAAAACCCAGGUUCGAGCCCUGGUAGCGCCU